AUAUUCAUGCUCUGAGCACUGGAGAGAAAGGAUUUGGUUAUAAGGGUUCCUGCUUUCACAGAAUUAUUCCAGGGUUUAUGUGCCAGGGUGGUGACUUCACACGCCAAAUUGGCACUGGUGGCAAGCCCAUCUGCAGGGAGAAAUUUGAUGAUAAGAACUUCAUCCUAAAGCAUACAGGUCCUGGCAUCUUGUCCAUGACAAAUGCUGGACCCAACACAAACGAUUCCCAGUUUUUCAUCUGCACUGCCAAGACUGAGUGGUUGGAUGGCCCACCUGG
rnacentral:lncRNA from 1 species